rnacentral:tRNA from 1 species
CCGGUAAUGGUGUAACGGCUAAACAUUACCGCCUUUCACGCGGUAGCUCGGGGUUUCGAUUCCCCGUACCGGC